ensembl:lncRNA
UGUACUUAAUUUUCAUAUGACUGUAUAUUAGUCAGUUGUGUGUAUAGUAUUAGACUGGUUGAGCAGUGUUCCAAGAGUGCUUAUAUUUCUUAUAACCAUACCAGGACGUUUCACUGUGCGUAUCACUCUGUUCAUCUGUGUUCACCAAAUAAAAUUAAUUAAUGUACCUUUUGGCUUAAAAUAUGAAAACUCAUCAGGUGAAGAUGAAAAGGAUGAAGAGAUGCCAAUUUUACCAGAAGCCCAUUUAACAGGAAUGUACAAAUGAAUGUGAGCUAGCUAGCCAGCUAGCCGAAGUGCUAUAAAUUGAGUAUGGCUUCUUCAGGCUCUAUUUCCGACCAGAGACCUGUAUAUGGGAGAAAAGCAAGUCAUUUUAAAGCUGAGAAAAGAGGGAAAAUCUAAAGAAAGCAUUGGUAUACUAGCAACUGGACAUGGAACAGGUUGGCCAAGGAAAACAACAACAUAUGAUGACGGAAUCAUUGUGAGAUCUGUGAAGAAAUCCCCCAAAACCACAGUCAGUGACAUCAUCAACAAGCUCCACAGGGCAGGGGUGAAGGUAUCACAAUCCUACAUUUGAAGAAGUCUUUGAGAGCAGAAUUAUAGUGGCCAUACCACAAGAUACAAACCACUGAGCAGUAGGAAUCAGAAAUCCAGACUGGAAUGUGCACAUAAAUACAGAGAUUAGACAGAAAAGUUCUGAAACCAAGAUUAACCUCUGCCAAAGUGAUGGAAAGGCCAAAGUGUGGAGAAAGAAAGGAGAUACAAGCUCAUCAAGCACGGUGGAGGUAGUGUCCUGGCCUGGGCUUGCAUGGCUGCUUCUGGAACAGGCUCACUAAUCUUUAUUGAUGAUGUAACUCAUGAUGUUAGCAGCAGAAUGAAUUCAGAAGUCUACAGAAACAUUUUGUCUGCCAAUUUACAGAGAAAUGCAGCCAAAUUAAUUGGGAGUAACUUCAUGCAUUAUGCAACAUCAUGCAGCACAAUGACCAAAACACACUGCCAACAUAACAAAGGACUUCAUCAAGGGAAAAAAGUGGAAGGUUUAGACUGGCAAAGACAAUCACCGGACCUUAACCUAAUUGAGCAUGCAUUUCACCUCCUGAAGAGACGAUUGAAGGGAGAAACCCCGUUAUACAAACAACAACUGAAAAAAGCUGCGGUUCAAGCCUGGAAAAGCAUUACAGAAGAAGAAUGUAACAGUUUGGUGAUGUCACUGGUUCACUGGCUUGAUGCAGAUAUUGCAAGCAAGGGAUAUGCAACUAUAAUAAUGGAAAAUAAAAAACAUCAGAAAUGAAGAACCCCCUUCUAUAAGCUGGUUUGUACAAACUUUUGAUGGGUAGUGUAUAUAUCAUUGCAUCUGGGGUGGUGGUAGCUCAGUGUUUAAGACGUUGUACUUCUGAUCAGAAGGUUGUGAGGUCAAAUCCCAGUACCACCAAAGUCACUGCUGGGCACUUAACCCUCCACUGCUUAGUUGUAUAAAUUAGAUAAAUGUAAGUCUGCCAAAUGCCAUAAAUGUAACAGAAGCAUAUGUGAGUUGUUCAAUUAUUGUACAGAGAAUCCUUCAGACCAUUCCAGUGCCUUCUUUGAAUACUGGUUUUAAAAAUGAGUAUAAACUGGAGAUAUAACCAUAAUCUGAGGAGGUAGUGUGUCAUUUCACUGUGUGUGUGUUUGUGUCACAGAGAAGUGCACUGGAGUCACUAAGGCUGGAAAUAUCUUACUGGAGACAGACAUGACUCACCAUGCAGAGCAAUACAAGAGUUGCUGUUGAUCCUAUCCUGCAAACACUGGAUGCAAGGUAGGAGCACACCUUCGCAGGACACCAUGAACACAUAUUCCUACACUCAUUCACAUCUAGGGACAGUUUAGCAUGGCUAGUGUACUUACUGGCAUGCUUUAGGAGGUGGAAGAAAACCGAUGAAAGACAGAGAAGAUUCCUGUUUACCAUAGUGCAUGAAUCAAAACCACAUCCAGAUGUAUUUUCACAGACCCCGCCGAUAAAUUUGCUUAUUCUUCUGACAUCAGUCUACACCAGUACAAGCAGGGAGCUGUAAUAGUUCUUAC